UUUCAAUAACCUGAUUAACGGUAAGCAGGAAAAUUCACUCAGACCAUAUCUGACCUGGUGGUGUUUCGGAACCGGUUGCAGGUGUCCCGCCGGAAGUGGCCAAAUAUAACAGUGAACCAAACCUAUGCAUACGCCACAUCAAAUAACGAUAACCUGAUGUACGGUAAGCAGGAUAAUAGUCUCAGACCAUAUCUGAAGCGGUAGUGUUCCGAAACCGGUUCCGGGUGUCCCACCGGUACUGGCUAAAUGUAAAAGUGAACCAAACCUAUGAAUGCGACACAUCAAAUAGCGGCUUUUCCGAUAACCUGAUGAACACUAAGCAGGAAAAUAGUCUCAGACCAUAUCUGAACCAGUAGUGUUCAGGAAUCGGUUCCGUGUUGUAACCGUAGGUUCCAAUUUAGAAGCUUGAUGGCUCCUCCACAAGUAUUCCUUUCCAAAUCCAACCUGCCAGUAAGUUUCUAAAACCCCAAAUCCAACCCUGGAUAAACACACUGACAGCCUUACUGGUGGCGUAAUCACAGUUGUCAGUGAAAUGCGCAGGUCAGCUACUAAUAUAGCACACGUAGUGAGUACUCACACCUGCUACUUAGUGACAGCGGUUUGAACCAAUGUGGGAGUGGUGCCAACUGUCACGAAACGAUCGAGUAUCAAACUUCGGUUCGAUUCGGACUUGGGACAGGGAAAUUAGCACAUUCAAGGAGAAGGUUGGCGUCUUUCCAGCUGUGACCGCCAAAGAAGCCGGUAGUGCGCGGCGUGUUAAUUAGAAUAUUAAAUUGGUGUAAAAGUGGUGUAUAUAUAUACUUAGCAUGCGUUGUUUUAGAAAGCUGUAAGCACUCUAUUCAAAGUGAAGGUUAAGCUCUAGUGUACGGGUGUUAGCUACCGCGUGUGCACUACAAAGCAUUUCCAUUGUGCCUCUAGGAAAAAGAACAAAGAAAAGGUAAAAUCAAUUGUUAAAUUGUGAAUCAAGAGAGAGAGAGGGGAGAGACGAUCACGAGUGAGGGGUACUAAUUCCCAGGAUCAGGUCCGAAUACGGGCCUUUUCUUUUAAGCUCCUUGGAGCUGUAUUAUCCACAGAUUGCGACGAAACGUUGACGGGAAUCGGGUUCGUGCCAGAUCCGUAAAGACGCCACGUCCCAAACGCCUUGGGAUUGGUUGAACUGGACCGACCGAGGUCUUAACGCCACUACGUGCCCCGCCAUUGUUGAGGAAGUCAGAACCACCUCGUGGCGACACUUUCGACCAUCAUUUGGACACGCUCCUGGCCGCACCCAGCGAGUGCCGAAACCAUCGGCCGCAUCCAGCGAGUGCCGAAGCCGUCGGCCGUAUCUAGCAAGCUCUGAAACCGUCGGCCACACCCAUCGAGUGCCGAAAUCGUCGGCCGCACCCAGCAAGUGCCGAAGCCGUCGGCCGUAUCGAGCAAGCUCGAAAACCGUCGGCCACAUACAGCGAGGACCGAAACCGUCGGCCGCAUCCAGCGAGCGCCGAAACCGUCGACCGCAUCUAGCGAGCGCCGGAAUUGUCGACUGCAUUCUGCAAGGGCCGGUAACCCCAAGUGCAUCCUGUGAGUGCCGCAACCAUCGGCCAAGGUAACCACCUUCACCUGAGGGGGUUGAAACCGUCGGCCUCCGCGUCGGCGACAUCCGGAGAAACCACCCGCCGUCAAACCGAAGAGAAGCCAGGACGCCGUGAGCUCAAACCACCAUCCGAUCGGCCAUGUUCCUCCUUCCGAUGUCCUCGUUCAACAAGCUAGCCAACGUAGAUCUGCAGCGCUGCAAAGAGCAACAACCGCAAGUACCCUCUGUGUAUCGUCUCUCAUUCAUGAAAAUAACCCACUUGGGUGAAUAAAUAUGUAAGCAUGUAACUGAA